AGAGUUUGAUCAUGGCUCAGGACGAACGCUGGCGGCGCGCUUAACACAUGCAAGUCGUGCGAUACCUUGAGCGAGUCUUACGACAAGUUCAAGGUAGAGCGGCGGACGGGUGAGUAACACGUGAGUAGCUGUCCUAAGGAGGGGGAUAACGCCUGGAAACGGGUGCUAAAACCCCAUAUGCCUCGCAAGAGGUGAAAGUGUAGCUUGCUACAGCCUUAGGGUGUGCUCGCGGCCUAUCAGCUAGUUGGUGAGGUAACGGCUCACCAAGGCUAAGACGGGUAGCCGGCCUGAGAGGGUGUACGGCCACACUGGAAUUGAGAUACGGUCCAGACUCCUACGGGAGGCAGCAGUGGGGAAUCUUGGGCAAUGGGCGAAAGCCUGACCCAGCGACGCCGCGUUGGGGAUGAAACCCUUUGGGGUGUAAACCCAUGUUGUAGGGGACGAAGAAAGUGACGGUACCCUACGAGGAAGCCCCGGCUAACUACGUGCCAGCAGCCGCGGUAAGACGUAGGGGGCGAGCGUUGUCCGGAAUUACUGGGCGUAAAGGGCACGCAGGCGGUGCGCCAAGUCGAGGGUGUAAAGUUACGGCUUAACCGUGACAUUGCAAUCGAUACUGGCGCGCUGGAGUGCGGGAGAGGGAAGUGGAAUUCCCGGUGUAGCGGUGAAAUGCGUAGAUAUCGGGAGGAACGCCAGUGGCGAAGGCGGCUUCCUGGCCCGCGACUGACGCUCAUGUGCGAAAGCCAGGGGAGCGAACCGGAUUAGAUACCCGGGUAGUCCUGGCCGUAAACGAUGGGUGCUAGGUGUAGGCGCGUCAAGCGUCUGUGCCGAAGUUAACGCGAUAAGCACCUCGCCUGGGGAGUACGGUCGCAAGGCUGAACUCAAUGAAUUGACGG
rnacentral:rRNA from 1 species